GUGGCUCAUGCUUACAAUCCUAGCACUAUGGGAGGCGAGGCUGGAGAAUCAUCUGAGGUCAGGAGUUUGAGACCAGCCUGGCCAACAUGGUAAAACCCCUUCUCUAC